UACGGAGGGUGCAAGCGUUAUCCGGAUUCACUGGGUUUAAAGGGUGCGUAGGCGGCGUGGUAAGUCGGGUGUGAAAUCUCGGAGCUUAACUCCGAAGCUGCAUUCGAUACUGCCGUGCUUGAGGACUGGAGGGGAGACUGGAAUUUACGGUGUAGCGGUGAAAUGCGUAGAUAUCGUAAGGAAGACCAGUGGCGAAGGCGGGUCUCUGGACAGUUCCUGACGCUGAGGCACGAAGGCCAGGGGAGCAAACGGG
rnacentral:rRNA from 1 species